rnacentral:rRNA from 1 species
GUAACAAGGUCUCCGUUGGUGAACCAGCGGAGGGAUCAUUACCGAGUUUACAACUCCCAAACCCAAUGUGAACCAUACCAAACUGUUGCCUCGGCGGGGUCACGCCCCGGGUGCGUCGCAGCCCCGGAACCAGGCGCCCGCCGGAGGGACCAACCAAACUCUUUCUGUAGUCCCCUCGCGGACGUUAUUUCUUACAGCUCUGAGCAAAAAUUCAAAAUGAAUCAAAACUUUCAACAACGGAUCUCUUGGUUCUGGCAUCGAUGAAGAACGCAGCGAAAUGCGAUAAGUAAUGUGAAUUGCAGAAUUCAGUGAAUCAUCGAAUCUUUGAACGCACAUUGCGCCCGCCAGUAUUCUGGCGGGCAUGCCUGUCCGAGCGUCAUUUCAACCCUCGAACCCCUCCGGGGGGUCGGCGUUGGGGAUCGGGAACCCCUAAGACGGGAUCCCGGCCCCGAAAUACAGUGGCGGUCUCGCCGCAGCCUCUCCUGCGCAGUAGUUUGCACAACUCGCACCGGGAGCGCGGCGCGUCCACGUCCGUAAAACACCCAACUUCUGAAAUGUUGACCUCGGAUCAGGUAGGAAUACCCGCUGAACUUAAGCAUAU